rnacentral:rRNA from 1 species
CCUACGGGUGGCAACAGUGGGGAAUAUUGCACAAUGGGGGAAACCCUGAUGCAGCGACGCCGCGUGAGUGAAGAAGUAAUUCGUUAUGUAAAGCCCUAUCAGCAGGGAAGAAAAUGACGGUACCUGAGUAAGAAGCCCCGGCUAAAAACGUGCCAGCAGCCGCGGUAAUACGUAGGGGGCAAGCGUGAUCCGGAUUUACUGGGGGUAAAGGGAGCGUAGACGGUCGUGCAAGUCUGGAGUGAAAGCCGGGGGCUUAACCCGAGGACUGCACUGGAAACUGUACGACUGGAGUGCAGAAGAGGUGAGUGGAACUCCAAGUGUAGCGGUGAAAUGCGUAGAUAUUAGGAAGAACACCAGUGGCGAAGGCGGCUUACUGGACUGUAACUGACGUUGAGGUUCGAAAGCGUGGGGAGCAAACAGGAUUAGAUACCCUAGUAGUC